AUUGAACGCUGGCGGCAUGCUUUACACAUGCAAGUCGAACGGUAACAGGUUAAGCUGACGAGUGGCGAACGGGUGAGUAAUGCAUCGGAACGUGCCCGAUCGUGGGGGAUAACGCAGCGAAAGCUGCGCUAAUACCGCAUGCGAGCUGAGGAUGAAAGCGGGGGACGGUAAGGCCUCGCGCGAUCGGAGCGGCCGAUGUCAGAUUAGGUAGUUGGUGGGGUAAAGGCUCACCAAGCCAACGAUCUGUAGCUGGUCUGAGAGGACGACCAGCCACACUGGGACUGAGACACGGCCCAGACUCCUACGGGAGGCAGCAGUGGGGAAUUUUGGACAAUGGGCGAAAGCCUGAUCCAGCAAUGCCGCGUGCAGGAAGAAGGCCUUCGGGUUGUAAACUGCUUUUGUACGGAGCGAAAAAGCUCUCUCUAAUACAGGGGGCUCAUGACGGUACCGUAAGAAUAAGCACCGGCUAACUACGUGCCAGCAGCCGCCGUAA
rnacentral:rRNA from 1 species